AUGUUGGAAGUGCUUUGGCUGCCUCCCCAACCCGGUUGGAUUAAAGUUAAUGUUGAUGGUGCAUCAGCUGGACAUGUUAAUGCUUUAUUCGCGGAGUUCAUGGGGACCAUUUUUGCCAUGGAACAAGCUUUCCGUAAAAAUUGGUCAAAUCUCUGGAUGGAAACCGAUUCAUCUCUUGUGGUCUUGGCUUUUAGCAACUCUUGUGUGGUUCCUUAG